GACAGAGGCCACAAGCGUUAGGCGGAAUCACUGGGCUUAAAGCGUGUGUAGGCGGAUCGUUAAGUGCCUUGUGAAAUCCCACGGCUCACCCGUGGAAUGGCUGGGCAGACUGGCGGUCUUGAGCCAUCUAGGGGCGACUGGAACAAACGGUGGAGCGGUGAAAUGCGUAGAUAUCGUUUGGAACGCCAACGGUGAAAACAGGUCGCUGGGGAUGUGCUGACGCUGAGACACGAAAGCCAGGGGAG
rnacentral:rRNA from 1 species